rnacentral:tRNA from 1 species
AAUCCGUCGACUUUAGAAAUCGUGAGGGUUCAAGUCCCUCK